CCUACGGGAGGCAGCAGUGGGGAAUAUUGGACAAUGGGCGCAAGCCUGAUCCAGCAAUGCCGCGUGAGUGAUGAAGGCCUUAGGGUUGUAAAGCUCUUUUACCAGGGAUGAUAAUGACAGUACCUGGAGAAUAAGCUCCGGCUAACUCCGUGCCAGCAGCCGCGGUAAUACGGAGGGAGCUAGCGUUGUUCGGAAUUACUGGGCGUAAAGCGUACGUAGGCGGUUAUUCAAGUCAGAGGUGAAAGCCCGGGGCUCAACCCCGGAACUGCCUUUGAAACUAGGUAGCUAGAAUCUUGGAGAGGUCAGUGGAAUUCCGAGUGUAGAGGUGAAAUUCGUAGAUAUUCGGAAGAACACCAGUGGCGAAGGCGACUGACUGGACAAGUAUUGACGCUGAGGUACGAAAGCGUGGGGAGCAAACAGGAUUAGAUACCCUGGUAGUCCACGCCGUAAACGAUGAUAACUAGCUGUCCGGUCACUUGGUGACUGGGUGGCGCAGCUAACGCAUUAAGUUAUCCGCCUGGGGAGUACGGUCGCAAGAUUAAAACUCAAAGGAAUUGACGG
rnacentral:rRNA from 1 species